GGGUAACCUACCUAUAGGACUGGGAUAACUCCGGGAAACCGGGGCUAAGGCCGGAUAACAUUUAGAACCGCGAGGUUCUAAAGUGAAAGAUGGUUUUGCUAUCACUUAUAGAUGGACCCGCGCCGUAUUAGCUAGUUGGUAAGGUAACGGCUUACCAAGGCAACGAUACGUAGCCGACCUGAGAGGGUGAUCGGCCACACUGGAACUGAGACACGGUCCAGACUCCUACGGGAGGCAGCAGUAGGGAAUCUUCCGCAAUGGGCGAAAGCCUGACGGAGCAACGCCGCGUGAGUGAUGAAGGUCUUCGGAUCGUAAAACUCUGUUAUUAGGGAAGAACAAAUGUGUAAGUAACUAUGCACGUCUUGACGGUACCUAAUCAGAAAGCCACGGCUAACUACGUGCCAGCAGCCGCGGUAAUACGUAGGUGGCAAGCGUUAUCCGGAAUUAUUGGGCGUAAAGCGCGCGUAGGCGGUUUCUUAAGUCUGAUGUGAAAGCCCACGGCUCAACCGUGGAGGGUCAUUGGAAACUGGGAAACUUGAGUGCAGAAGAGGAAAGUGGAAUUCCAUGUGUAGCGGUGAAAUGCGCAGAGAUAUGGAGGAACACCAGUGGCGAAUGCGACUUUCUGGUCUGUAACUGACGCUGAUGUGCGAAAGCGUGGGGAUCAAACAGGAUUAGAUACCCUG
rnacentral:rRNA from 1 species